ACUCCUACGGGAGGCAGCAGUGGGGAAUCUUGCGCAAUGGGCGCAAGCCUGACGGAGCAACGCCGCGUGAGUGAAGAAGGCCUUCGGGUUGUAAAACUCUGUCAUCAGGGAAGAAGAAAGUGACGGUACCUGAGGAGGAAGCCCCGGCUAACUACGUGCCAGCAGCCGCGGUAAUA
rnacentral:rRNA from 1 species